AGAGUUUGAUCCUGGCUCAGGAUGAACGCUGGCGGCGUGCCUAAUACAUGCAAGUCGAGCGAACGGACGAGAAGCUUGCUUCUCUGAUGUUAGCGGCGGACGGGUGAGUAACACGUGGAUAACCUACCUAUAAGACUGGGAUAACUUCGGGAAACCGGAGCUAAUACCGGAUAAUAUUUUGAACUGCAUGGUUCAAAAGUGAAAGACGGUCUUGCUGUCACUUAUAGAUGGAUCCGCGCUGCAUUAGCUAGUUGGUAAGGUAACGGCUUACCAAGGCAACGAUGCAUAGCCGACCUGAGAGGGUGAUCGGCCACACUGGAACUGAGACACGGUCCAGACUCCUACGGGAGGCAGCAGUAGGGAAUCUUCCGCAAUGGGCGAAAGCCUGACGGAGCAACGCCGCGUGAGUGAUGAAGGUCUUCGGAUCGUAAAACUCUGUUAUUAGGGAAGAACAUAUGUGUAAGUAACUGUGCACAUCUUGACGGUACCUAAUCAGAAAGCCACGGCUAACUACGUGCCAGCAGCCGCGGUAAUACGUAGGUGGCAAGCGUUAUCCGGAAUUAUUGGGCGUAAAGCGCGCGUAGGCGGUUUUUUAAGUCUGAUGUGAAAGCCCACGGCUCAACCGUGGAGGGUCAUUGGAAACUGGAAAACUUGAGUGCAGAAGAGGAAAGUGGAAUUCCAUGUGUAGCGGUGAAAUGCGCAGAGAUAUGGAGGAACACCAGUGGCGAAGGCGACUUUCUGGUCUGUAACUGACGCUGAUGUGCGAAAGCGUGGGGAUCAAACAGGAUUAGAUACCCUGGUAGUCCACGCCGUAAACGAUGAGUGCUAAGUGUUAGGGGGUUUCCGCCCCUUAGUGCUGCAGCUAACGCAUUAAGCACUCCGCCUGGGGAGUACGACCGCAAGGUUGAAACUCAAAGGAAUUGACGGGGACCCGCACAAGCGGUGGAGCAUGUGGUUUAAUUCGAAGCAACGCGAAGAACCUUACCAAAUCUUGACAUCCUUUGACAACUCUAGAGAUAGAGCCUUCCCCUUCGGGGGACAAAGUGACAGGUGGUGCAUGGUUGUCGUCAGCUCGUGUCGUGAGAUGUUGGGUUAAGUCCCGCAACGAGCGCAACCCUUAAGCUUAGUUGCCAUCAUUAAGUUGGGCACUCUAAGUUGACUGCCGGUGACAAACCGGAGGAAGGUGGGGAUGACGUCAAAUCAUCAUGCCCCUUAUGAUUUGGGCUACACACGUGCUACAAUGGACAAUACAAAGGGCAGCGAAACCGCGAGGUCAAGCAAAUCCCAUAAAGUUGUUCUCAGUUCGGAUUGUAGUCUGCAACUCGACUACAUGAAGCUGGAAUCGCUAGUAAUCGUAGAUCAGCAUGCUACGGUGAAUACGUUCCCGGGUCUUGUACACACCGCCCGUCACACCACGAGAGUUUGUAACACCCGAAGCCGGUGGAGUAACCUUUUAGGAGCUAGCCGUCGAAGGUGGGACAAAUGAUUGGGGUGAAGUCGUAACAAGGUAGCCGUAUCGGAAGGUGCGGCUGGAUCACCU
rnacentral:rRNA from 9 species